rfam:Schistosoma mattheei strain Denwood, Zambia genome assembly, scaffold: SMTD_scaffold0010899
GUACUGCUGAGGAGUCCCACAACAGGACGAAACGGCCGUCCAGUGC